rnacentral:lncRNA from 1 species
AUGAAAAGAUGUUUGCUUAGUUUAUACCUUUGGAGGGUACAAGGUCAGGAUCGAGUGGCCUCCUCUCUUUGGCACCUCAGAGCCUGGCAGAGAGGGACAUGGCAAAGAACACACCCAAGGCAAAGAUGGUUCUUGCUGAUAUCUCUCUCACUGCAGUAUGAGGCUUCACAACCGGCAGUUGCAUAGACUGAGGACAUGGAAGCUCCAAGGUAUGGUUUUUGAGAAGAAGGUUUUUAUUGUAGAUAUGAAGGACAGUACAGCCAGAGGAGUGUGGAAGGGUUCAGAGCUCAGAGAGAAAGUAAGAGACUAAACAUGGCCAGCAGACUGGAUCAGGCUAGGAGAGGGGGUGGGAGACAGAGAGAGAGAGAGAGAGAGAGAGAGUGAGAGAGAACAAAGCAGACUAAGAGGCAUAGGAAAGGAGAUGGAGAGGGGAAGACAGUGUAAGAGGAAGACCAUGAGCUGGAGUUUAAGGUAAGGUGGGGUGAGAAAGGCUAAGAACCAUGGGUACUGAGAAAGGCUGGAGGCCCUCUGAUGCUUUGAUAUGCUAAUAGAUACUAGGUGUCCCUUCUGAAUGAGAUAGGAAAUGGUUCCUUUAGUUGAGGGAAACAGCCACAGAAUUUGGGUGAGUGGCAUUUCCUUGUUUCCUUCAGUUCUGACAGAGGUUGAGUGGUUUGGAAUGG